AAUUAAUGCUAGUUAUUUAAAUAUAAUGCAAUAUUCGUAAAUACUUAACAGCGGUGUAACCGAUAAGGCAUCUAUGGGAGAUCGCUCCAUAGCUACUCGAUGGUUCGCGGAUUAGGCAUCGACUUAAGGGGUUAUUCUCAUGUGAGCACUUCAAAAAAUCGAUUUUUUUUUUUAUAUUUUGACAGUAAAACUUAUUGAAAGCAUGCUGUGAAAAAUUGAGACCGAAAUUCAUAGUAUUUGAUAAGUUACAGCUCAUAGUCGCCGACGUGUCGUAAGCGAUUGUCUACCAGGCUUUCAACUUUAAACGCGUUUUUCUCGAAUCAUCGUUUUCUGAAACGGUCAAGGUUCUACAAGAAAAAACAACAUGAACAGCCGCUAUCACCUUGACCAGUGAACUACCUUUUUUUGUUGGCGACUACUUUGACUUAAAAAAAAUAUAUGUUAAAAAUGUAAAAAACGAAAAAGAAAUUUUUUUUCGUAAAUUUCAAAAUACAAAUAAAAAUAUAUUGAAAAAUCAACAUGAUUGACGUUGGUUGUCACAUAAAAAAAAAUUCCGAAAAAGUGGUAAAAUAUAGGCGUUCACAUGAGAAUAACCCCUUAAGCACUUGGUCUAUUGGGAUAUGAGGAACAAAAUAAAUGAGAACACACUGUGAAUAAUUUCAAUACUAAAUUUUAAUAUAUCAUUUGGACUCUACUAGUUAAGAGGACACUGUACACUAUAAAAUCGUACUAGAGACUGAAAACCAAAAUCGCUAAUGAGGCGCUGGUUCACCUCCAUUCAGGAAGGGCAAUAAAUUUCGCACCCCCUGAAACUUUACAUAGAAAUUCUAUCUUGACCAUGUGUGGUCACCAGAUGGGUUUUGAAGAAAACCCCUUUUGAAAAGCUCAGUAAUAAAAGUCCCAAGGGAAAGGCCCCGACGACAAUCAAAUCAUAAAACAUUUUCUUUAAUCCUAAAUAUAAAAACUCUGGAACGAGUGAAUUUUGUCUUCGGAGAAAGACCUAAAAUUCAACACACCCCCUCAAAAUUUAAUCAUUCCGAAAUCUAAGUAUUAUCAAAAGAAUCUAAAUGUAAUUCAACUACAUCAAAUUCAAAUAAUCUAAGUGCCUCUUAACUAAUCUCUGGGAGCAAAUACACAUGGUCCAGCAUUCGCUGCAAUGGAUUGGGAAACUCAGAGAAACACAAUCAGACCGUUUCGUAAUACAUAUGUAUACAUAUAUACAAAUUUACUUAAUAUUCAAUUGACUUCUCGAUUCCUCAAAUUUUGGUCCGGGCAGUGGCUUUGUAAAAACAUCCGCUAACUGUCGUCCUGUAAAAAUGUGUUCGAAUUUAAUUUGAUUAUUAUAAAUUCGUUCACUUGAGAAAUGAUAUUUAAUAUCUAUAUGAUUGGUUCUGUUAUGAUUGGUUGGAUAAUAAUACAUCCAGGAGUGGAUAAUAAUCCAGGACAAUAACGAUUGCAUCAGUAUAGCUAAUAAGCUAAUCAGUAUAGCUAACAAGCUAUACUGAUGCAAGCAUUAUUGUCCUCAUAGAUCAGUAUGAUUUUAACCAUAGAGCUUCUCUAACUGCCUUAAAUAGCUGCUAUUGAUAACUGUCUCAUUGUAUUCCAACAAAUUCUAGAGUUUUCAAAUAAUUUAAAUACCUAACCUGUCGUGCUCUUUCUAUCAUUUUCCAAAAGCUGCUGUGUGAGCGGUUGAUCCUUUCGGGCCAGUUGGUUUCGGCUUAUUGUUCUUCUUAAAGAAACAAUUUGCCAUCACGUGUCCUCGUUUCCCACAAUUGUAACACGUCACGAAUUUUCUGAGAUUUUUCAUUUUAUUUUGAUGAUAAUUCUGCGGUCUUGAAUUAUACAUUUUUUCCUUUUGCACAUCAACAUUUAACACUUUAGCACUUGUAUCCUGAAGUUCUUGACGCAUUUUUGUUUCGAAAUGCAGUAAUUUUGAUUUAAUAUCCGCAAGAACUACCAGAUCCGGUGAUAACUGUCCAAUUACGGUCACAAUGUUGUCGUAAGAGUUAGGCAAAGUCAGUAACAGAUAGACCACCUUAUCCUUCUCAUUCAAAGUGCCACCAGCAGCCACAAAGUCUUCAAAUAAUUCGUCUAGCUCCGAAAAAUGCUCUUGUAAGGUAGUAUCACCUUUUAAUUUAGACGUGAAGAUUUUUUUUCGGAUAACCAUUUGCAAUACAAAACUUUUUCGUGCGUAAAUAGCAUCAAGUCUGCUCAUCAUUUCUUUGGCUGAUUCCUCCAGUUUCGCAAAAUGCAACAACGAGUCCGCUAAAUUCGCCACGAUAACACCUUUUGCAGUAUUCUCUGCUUUCUGCCACUCGUCGGUUACGAUUGUUGGAGGCUGCGUGUUGAGUACUUUUAUUACUCCUAAUUCGGCCAACAAAUCUUCUAUUUGCCUUCUCCAAAUUCUAUAGCGUUCCCCAUUGAACUGUUCAAUGUUUUUAUUCAACUUCUCCAUUAUCUAUUCAAUAAAACCACUGAAUCACGAUAUUAAUAAUUAAUCACUCAAGAAUUAAUUGUUCAGAAAAAUAUUAAUAAUUUUACACGCAGGAAUAUUACACGUUAUUCUCGGCCCAUAAACUGUUGUGAUAUGAGGAACAAACUAAUUGAUAACACACUGUUAAUAAUUACAACACUCAAAUUUAAUAUAUUAUUUGGACUCUACUAGUUAAGAGGACACUGUACACACUAUGAAAUCUGACGAAAGACUGAAAACCGAAUUGCUAGUGUGGCCCUGAUCCACCUCUAUUUAGAGAGGGUAAUAAAGUCCGCACCCCCUGAAACUUUACUGAGAAAUUCUAUCUUGACCAUGCCUGGUCACUACAUGGGUUUUAGGAAAAACCCCUUUGGAAAAGCUCAGUAAUAAAAGUCUCAAGGGAAAAGCCCCGACGACAAUUAAGUUGUAAAACAUUUUCUUUAAUGCUAAGUAUAAAAACUCUAGAACAAGUGAAUUUUGUCUUCGGGGAAAACCCCAAAAAUCAACAAUAACCCUCCGAUGUCGCCAUAGAGAGGAGGAUGAGGUGCCCCAUUUUCGGUAAAUCUCCAGUACUUCCCCCCCCCCCCGGAAAUAUACACUGAUUUUUACAUCUCUGAUUACGAAUUGGCAACCGCUUUUUUGCUGAAACAAUUAGUUCCCUUGAUACGUUGUAAUUUAUACACCGCUCUUUGCAUAACCCGGGAGCACGACAGGGACGUAGCGGUUAUCGGCCCCAACGACGACACAUGUUGGUACGUUUAAAGGCCAGGGACAACACAAAGAGGUAUUAUCGUUGGUUUUCACUCACACAAAAGCGACAGCACUCACCCAAUGGUAAUCAAUGGCCUUUUGUUCGUGAAGGUAGAUGGAUGAUAUCGAUGUAAACACCGGCGCUGCCUCUUUCUGCAGCAAUUUUAUGAAGUUAAGAAUAUCAAGUCUUUUAUGACAACUAUGUUGACCCUCUACGACGGCAGAUCUAAUGUCUCCUAGUGAAGAGAAUGUGCAGACUCAUUUUUUUGUGUUACGGUCUAGUGUCUAGGGAUGUUUCAGGACACUGUCAUUCUAUCAAGGGAUGGAGCACUGAUCUUGAACAUCAUUUGAUACAUGAAAAUGAAAUUGUCCUUUGAAGUUUUUCUAUGAUCUCUCAAUAUUGUUGGGGGUGGAAGUGUCAGGCACGGGAUGCACAAAUUUGAUUGAGCGCCUCACACUAAAUGAGACCUUGGGAUCACCAGUUGAGCUACUAAAGGGACAAAGGUAGACCACAAAAAUCCACCGAAGAUGGAAUGGAGCAAGAGACAGAAUAAUACAAAAAUGAAUCAUUUUUAAUCAGCUAUAAAUUUUUCUGUAAAAAUAUAAAUGGCAUCCUAAUCCUAAUUAUUCUUAAUCAUUCAUUCAAUACACAAAAUUCACACCAUAAAUAAUAAA